UACGAGGGGGGGCAAGCGUUGUUCGGAAUUAUUGGGCGUAAAGGGUGCGUAGGCGGCGCGGUAUGUCUCUUGUGAAAUCUCCAGGCUCAACUUGGAGUCUGCAAGGGAAACUGCCGUGCUUGAGUACUGGAGAGGUGAGUGGAAUUCCCGGGUGUAGCGGUGGAAAUGCGUAGAUAUUCGCAAGAACACCAGGUGGCGAAGGCGGCUCACUGGCCCGAUACUGACGCUGAGGCACGGAAGCGUGGGGAGCAAACAGG
rnacentral:rRNA from 1 species